rnacentral:rRNA from 1 species
ACGGAGGGUGCGAGCGUUGUUCGGAUUUAUUGGGCGUAAAGCGCGUGUAGGCGGCUUCUUAAGUCUGAUGUGAAAGCCCUGGGCUCAACCUGGGAAGUGCAUUGGAAACUGGGGAACUUGAAUACGGGAGAGGGUAGUGGAAUUCCUGGUGUAGGAGUGAAAUCCGUAGAUAUCAGGAGGAACACCGGUGGCGAAGGCGGCUACCUGGACCGAUAUUGACGCUGAGACGCGAAAGCGUGGGGAGCAAACAGGAUUAGAUACCCUGGUAGUCCACGCCGUAAACGAUGAGUACUAGGUGUUGCGGGUAUUGACCCCUGCAGUGCCGCAGCUAACGCAUUAAGUACUCCGCCUGGGAAGUACGGUCGCAAGACUA